CCAGAGGGUCGGGCGGCCGCGGCUCGACAUAUGUCGGGGCGAGGAAAGUCCGGGCUCCACGGAAACACGGUGCCGGAUAACGUCCGGCGGCUUCGGGCUUCGUCCGGGGUCAGGGAAAGUGCCACAGAAAGCAGUCCGCCGCGUUUCGGCGCGGUCAGGUCGAAAGGGUGGGGUAAGAGCCCACCGCGCGCCCGGCAACGGGGGCGGCACGGCAAACCCCACCGGGAGCAAGACCGAAUAGGGGCGGCGCAUGGGCCUGGUUCCGGCCCGUCGCCCGGGUUGGUUGCUUGAGGGGCGGAGCAAUCCGUCUCCUAGAGGAAUGGCCGCCCAUCCCCGGAUGACGGGGUGGACAGAACCCGGCUUACAGACCCUCUGGCAUU
rnacentral:RNase_P_RNA from 3 species